rnacentral:lncRNA from 1 species
UGUCCAAAAUAUUUUGUACGUGACAUGCAGUUUGCAUACAAAGUAUUAGUUUUAAUAUUUGUGCUUAUGUGUGUGUGUGUGUAUAUAUAUAUGUAUGUAUGUAAGUAUAUGUAUAUAAUUUAUAUAAAGAGGGAGUCAGAAGAUGUAUGACUGGAAAUAUACAUGGCAUUAGGAGUGAUCAAAGAAUUUGUUCAAGUACGUGGAGUUUAGUUAUUACGGUAGUAGCAUAUCUUUGUUUUAGCUUUGGAAUCGAGGUAAGGUUUUCUUGAGAAACUUAUUAUUAUUGGGUAUCUAUUUUGUUUAAACCUUGUGAAAUAUGUGUUACACUUGAUGUAUCUUUAUAAUUGAUAAUAUGUGUAUUUAGAAUAUGAUAUUCAUAUUACUGUUAUUGCCGAUAAUAUGGAUAUUGAAAUAAUGUUGAUUAUAUGCAUAUCAUUUCAUACUAAAGCAGAUGAAUUUUAUUGGUUUAUUCGAGAAUGAGAUAUGGAAAUGGAAAUAUUCUUUUGUGUAGUUGUUCGACUUUCGUAGGUACCAACAAGGGUGGCAAAAAUGAAAUUAUGGGCAUGGUAUGAAGUAGUGGGGACUAUGGCGACCGAGAGAAGAACACGAUGACUAACAAAAUGGGUACUUGGGAUGAUUGAGUUAUGGGGGUUAAUUUUUAUAAUAGAGUAUCCAGACCACCGCUACAGUGGAAAAAAUGCAUCGUAUGAGACGUGCAGGUCCGUAUGCUUGAUGCGAAAAUUUUCUUAACACACAAAUUAAACCCUCUUGUUGUCAAAUUGUAGUAUAAAUGCAAGUAGGGAUCGUUCUAAACCGGGGAUUAGGAGGGCUUGCUAAAACAUCUAAACUGACUUAAAAACAUAUAAACAAAGUUAAAAACACUAAACUAGACUCAAAGAACUUAAAACAAACUCAAAGGACUCAAAACAAGCUAAAAACGCUCAAAUCUGCCUAAAAACACAAACUGGGUAGAUUUGGACUCUAACACACUUUUGGGACACCUAAAAACACAAAUCAAAAUAGAUUUUGACUAAUAAAACACUUUAAAGUAAAGGGGGUUUUGGUGUUGACGAAUUUGAAAACAAAACAAGUAAAUUAAAGAACUAAUGAAAUCUGCACGAAUUUGAGUAAAUUGA